CAACAGUGGAAAAUGCACUAAACCAAUGCAGGGUUGUGAUUUACAGAAAUCAAAUAUCCUUUGGAAAAGAGCUUUAAAACAGGAACACCAAACAGGGUCAAUGUUUUCUGGAGGAAGCCAGCAGCCGCAUCAUAAGAACACUCAAGUAGCCGUAAGGAAAAGUCCAAGAGGUAAAGAACUGAAGCCUCCUGCAAUGGCCAGCACUAUCUUGCCAACCAUGGGAGUCAAGAAUGAACCACACCAGAAGCAGAUCUUCCUGCCCAAGUCAAGCUCUCAUGUAACAGUAGUCCCCGCUGACGCCUUCACUGCAACACUGACCAUUAGUCCUCUUACAUUCCUCAUCCACAGAAACUGUGAGAUAAUAAAUGUGUUAUUUACACCAAAAAGCUUUGGGAUUGGUACGGUUACAAAGCAUUAGAUAACUAACACAUGACUUUACAAGGUGGUGAUGAAAAUUAAUUCAGUUAAUCUACAAAAAGUGCUUUGGAACGGUAGUCCAGGGCACCUGAGGGGCUCAAUUAAGCAUCUGACUCUUGAUUUUGGCUCAGGUUGUGAUUUUAGGGUCAUGAGAUCAGGCAUGGAGCCUACUAAAGAGUCUUUCUUUCCCUUUCUUAAAAAAAACAAAAAACAAAGCAAAGCAAAACAAAACAAAAAAAUUAUUCCUUACACAUAAUAAGCACUAUAUAAAUGCUGACUGCCACUAUCAGUAUAAUACUACUAAUAAUGUUUUUAAUAUUAUUUUUCAUUUGCCCAAGGGGCAAGAGUUAAAGGAAUAUUGCCCACUUUUGCAAAAGUAAGUUAUACAUUUCUGAAGAGCAAAUUAGCAUUGUGUAUUAAAAAUCAGAGAAGACCCCAUACUAUUUAACCUAGAAGUUACACUAGGUAAUCAUCUGAAGUUUAUCACACAAGUUCAAGAAAACCUCUUUUAUGAUAUUGAGUAUGUAUAUAUGUACAUAGGUAUGUAUGUAAGUACGUAUUUAUUUUAGUACGUAUUUAUUUAGUCCUGGACAAGACUGAGUCGUAGUAAGCUGAAAAACAGAGAAUGUUGAAUACACACAAUCCACAGAGGAAUGGAUUUCCUCAAAAUUAUUAAUCUACAAUUUCAAGAUGUUACAAAUUUCUUUUCCUUAUUUUCAAACACAUACACUUCCAAAAUUUGUUGGAAAUAACAUCUCAGCUCUUUACAUUCACCUUGGUGAUUUUUUAAAAAUGGUUAUCACUUUUUAAAUUUGCCUUAUUUUUCACUCAUCAUUGGAAGCUGAGUUAACAUUCAAGAAGGAAAUAGCUACUGAUUUAUCUUCAGUUUUAGUUUGUAUAAAUAUAAGGAUACAAAAUAGCUAAUGGCUUAAAUGAGAACUUGGCACGAAUGAAACUGUUAUAUUAAAAUAUUAAAUGGCAUUUGUCACGGGUUAUAAAAAUAACAAUAUGCUAAUUGCACAAUUUCAUAAAUUCACAUACAUUAUCUUUUACCACCCUAAUGAAAUUUCAGCUCCUACAAAUUAUUAUAGUCUGUAUAAACAUAACCCCUAGUCAUAAUUAAGUGAAUAACACACUCCGUCCUUACAUAUUACCAUUCACAAAUGUUUUUAAGGCAUUAAUUAUACUUGAUAAAUUGGACCUUGUGGGAUAAAAUGUAAAAAUGUAAAAUCUAUAAAUAAAUUUAAAAACAACUAUUAUCAGCAAAACCACCUUCUAGCUAGUAUAAUGCUUCUAUAUACAAAUGAAAUAUAAUUCAUUAUAUGUGAACUAUAUUAAUAAAAUUGUUAUCCUAC
rnacentral:lncRNA from 1 species